AGUCGAGAAUCUUCGGCAAUGGGCGAAAGCCUGACCGAGCGACGCUGCGUGCGGGAUGAAGGCCCUUGGGUUGUAAACCGCUGUCAGAGGGGAUGAAAGCGCAAGCUUGACAGAGCCUCAGAGGAAGCGCGGGCUAAGUUCGUGCCAGCAGCCGCGGUAAUACGAACUGCGCAAACGUUAUUCGGAAUCACUGGGCUUACAGGGUGCGUAGGCGGCCUGGCAGGUCAGAUGUGAAAUCCCACAGCUCAACUGUGGAACUGCAUUUGAAACCUUCAGGCUUGAGUGAACUAGAGGCAUACGGAACUUCAGGUGGAGCGGUGAAAUGUGUUGAGAUCUGAAGGAACACCAGAGGCGAAAGCGGUAUGCUGGAGUUUGUCUGACGCUGAGGCACGAAAGCCAGGGGAGCGAA
rnacentral:rRNA from 1 species